rnacentral:rRNA from 1 species
AGAGUUUGAUCCUGGCUCAGGAUGAACGCUGGCGGCGUGCUUAACACAUGCAAGUCGAGCGGAACUUUAUAGUGAAUCCCCUUCGGGGGUGAAGCUGUAAAGUUUAGCGGCGGACGGGUGCGUAACGCGUGGGUAAUCUGCCCUUGUCACUGGGAUAACACAUCGAAAGGUGUGCUAAUACCGGAUGAAAUACAGACUCGGCAUCGAGAUUGUAUCAAAGUCAUGCGGACAAGGAUGAGCCUGCGUCUGAUUAGCUUGUUGGUGGGGUAAAAGCCUACCAAGGCGACGAUCAGUAGCCGACCUGAGAGGGUGAUCGGCCACACUGGAACUGAGACACGGUCCAGACUCCUACGGGAGGCAGCAGUGGGGAAUAUUGCACAAUGGGCGCAAGCCUGAUGCAGCAACGCCGCGUGAGUGAUGAAGGCCCUCGGGUCGUAAAACUCUGUCCUAAGGGAAGAUAAUGACGGUACCUUAGGAGGAAGCCCCGGCUAACUACGUGCCAGCAGCCGCGGUAAU